UGGGGAAUAUUGGUCAAUGGGCGCAAGCCUGAACCAGCCACGCCGCGUGAGUGAUGAAGGCCUUCGGGUUGUAAAGCUCUGUGGGGAGGGAAGAAAACGGCCAGGAAGAAACGACUGGUCCUUGACGGUACCUCCUUAGCAAGCACCGGCUAACUCUGUGCCAGCAGCCGCGGUAAUACAGAGGGUGCAAACGUUGCUCGGAAUUACUGGGCGUAAAGCGUGUGUAGGCGGACCGGUGUGUCAGAUGUGAAAGCCUUGGGCUCAACCCGAGAACUGCAUUUGAAACUGCCGGACUAGAGUAUUGGAGAGGGAUGCGGAAUUCCUGGUGUAGAGGUGAAAUUCGUAGAUAUCAGGAGGAACACCGGUGGCGAAGGCGGCAUCCUGGACAAUUACUGACGCU
rnacentral:rRNA from 1 species